rnacentral:lncRNA from 1 species
ACACCUCUUAAUUGGAUCCAUAUUUCAUGUUCAGUUUUGUGCACUCCAUCCCCUUCAAUACCCCACCCAACUGCAUGGAAUAAGGAUAAAUGUACAAAGUGGAGUGCUUUAUGACACACCUUUCUCUCUUUACACAACCGGGAUCCAUCCCUCUUUACAUUUUUCAUUGUCUUGGAAAGAUUAAGAGAUCCUGUAUUUUGUGUCAGCUAAUGGGUCCUUUAACACUGACAAAAUACCAAUACCAAAGGGUGGGGGCCAAUGUGUCAUUUUCAGUACUUGUAUGAUAUCAAAGGGUUGGCAAAUCAUGUGGGAUGGACUAGUAGGUUUGUCUUGAUAGCCUGUUAUGUUACUUUCUUCUUGAUAUGGCCAUGUUGUCUAAUGAAUGAGUCUUAUUCUCCUUUAUGACAAAGUUCC